AUACUUGCCUGGCACAGGGGAUGAUAGCGUGAUCACGAAGAUGGCCCCGUCAGGGCGAGGCCCUUCAUUGCACAUUGGUCGGGUUGGUCCCAGCGUUUGCCCCAAAUGUGGACAAAUCGGUGGUGUAAUUGCUAGCGGGGUAGGUUGUGUUCGCGGUUCUGCC